CCUACGGGAGGCAGCAGUGGGGAAUCUUCCGCAAUGGGCGAAAGCCUGACGGAGCAACGCCGCGUGAUCGAAUGAAGGCCUUCGGGUUGUAAAGAUCUGUUGCCAGGGACGAAUACGCAAUGCGAAUAGUUUUGUGUAUGACGGUACCUGUUUAGAAAGCUCCGGCUAACUACGUGCCAGCAGCCGCGGUAAUACGUAGGGAGCAAGCGUUGUCCGGAAUUACUGGGCGUAAAGGGCGCGUAGGUGGGCGCUUAAGUCAGGUGUGAAAACUCCGGGCUCAACCUGGAGACUGCACUUGAAACUGGGUGUCUUGAGUGAGUGAGAAGUAUGCGGAAUGCGUGGUGUAGCGGUGAAAUGCAUAGAUAUCACGCAGAACUCCGAUUGCGAAGGCAGCAUACCGGCGCUCAACUGACGCUCAUGCACGAAAGUGUGGGUAUCGAACAGGAUUAGAUACCCCUGUAGUC
rnacentral:rRNA from 1 species